AAUAGUGUGCUGUCAAUGUAUUUGAAAAAAGGUAGGGGUGCACACACAGAAGUUUAACUUUUCAGACUAUACAAACAUACUAUGAAGUGGUAUGUACAAACUUACAAAUUUUAGUUUAUUAUUGCAACAGUUUGUACCCAAACAAGACAGUUCCAUUGACUGUGGUGCUUAUCUGUGCAAAUUAUGCAUAUCUAAUAUGUUAUUGUUAAAAUUAAUUGACUUUUAGUUUGCCUAUACAUCAUACUGUGUUGUGAUGGAGUGUUCCGAUAUGUUGUCCAAGUAUAAAUUCUAUUGUAAUGGUUAUGCUCUGUCAUAACAUUGUUUAUUAGAUAACUUCAAAAUUUUUGAGGCAAUGGCUUAUGACUCUCAUGCUUCACAGUUUCAGGUGGAAGACAAUAACUAUUAGCGUUGCAACCAGAGUUGCUUAGUGCUAAGCAACUCUUUACAAUGAUUUACAAGCAUUGAAACGGGAUCUGCAAAAAAA